AUUGAACGCUGGCGGCAGGCCUAACACAUGCAAGUCGAACGGCAGCACGAGAAGAGCUUGCUCUUUGGGUGGCGAGUGGCGGACGGGUGAGUAACACGUAGGAAUCUACCCGAGUAGUGGGGGAUAACCUGGGGAAACCCCAGGCUAAUACCGCAUACGCCCUGAGGGGGAAAGCGGGGGAUCUUCGGACCUCGCGCUAUUGGAUGAGCCUGCGUCGGAUUAGCUAGUUGGUGGGGUAAGGGCCCACCAAGGCGACGAUCCGUAGCUGGUCUGAGAGGAUGACCAGUCACACCGGAACUGAGACACGGUCCGGACUCCUACGGGAUGCAGCAGUGGGGAAUAUUGGACAAUGGGCGCAAGCCUGAUCCAGCCAUGCCGCGUGGGUGAAGAAGGCCUUC
rnacentral:rRNA from 1 species